rnacentral:rRNA from 1 species
UACGUAGGGGCAAGCGUUGUCCGGAUUCAUUGGGCGUAAAGAGCGUGUAGGCGGCCAGACAGGUCCGUUGUGAAAACUAGAGGCUUAACCUCUAGACGUCGAUGGAAAACCGUCUGGCUAGAGUCCGGAAAGAGGAGAAUGGAAGUUCCUGGUGAUAGCGGGUGGAAAUGACGCAGAUAUCAGGAAGAACACCCGUGGCUAAGGCGGUUCUCUAGUACGGUACUGACGCUGAGACGCGAAGCGUGGGGAGCGAACAGG